AGAUUCUUGAUUGUUAGAAUGCUCGAACUUUGAUUUUGGGUGUGAUGAUCCAACAAUUUUGAAUAGGAAGAUCUGAUGC